UAGUCCUGCACGAACCAGCGGAAGCUGAGGAUCUGCACCAGCACGGAGGGCAGCAGCACGAAGGCCAGGGUCAGGCCGCACCACACGUAGUCCCGCCGCCCGUAGUGGUGCAGGGCCAGCCACAGGUGGAGAGCAAUAGUAUUAAACAUUCUUGGAACAAAGAGAACAUGAUAGAAUACUGCAGGACCCCAUGCUACAGACUUCAAAGGCCACAAGAUUUUUCUUGCUUUCUGCUGACUUAAGCUCUGUUAUGAGACCAGGCAGAACUAUGAAUAUGGAAAUGAAUGACACUGAGACCCUAAUCCUCUGUCUUGGCUGACAAAAAUUAACUUACACUCAGAGGAGAAAUGCUUAUAUUUGGGGAUCAUUCUUCCGCCUUGCAAUUGAAAAGCAAACCAGAGAAUCAGCAGGCCAGUUCUGAGGACUAAGGAUCCUGACACCUGUUAUUGCUGAGAAGCAUCUUUAUUGUGGAUUAAACUGUUUCACAGUCUUAAAGGGUUGCUCAGUUUACAGGUUGACAGGAGAGACUGAGGGAGCCCCACGCAGUUUACAAGUGAAACAAGAUGGCACUGCAAGCUCAGUUCAGUACAACGUCUGAAAAUCAAACUCUUAUUUCUGCCUCGUGCAUCAGCACCAACAAUAACGCAUCUUCAGCUGGAACUUAGCAGGGGGCUCUGUUGUUCAGGCAUGAGGCAGUGGAGAAUCCAGCUCACUCUUCCGUGGUGAGAGAGAGAAUCUCUGCUGUAUUGAAAGUUGGAGGUGUUGGUAAACCAAACAGAUACAGUAUGACUUUGACUUAGAAGACACCCAGUGGUCAAUUAACCUGUCGAUUAACCUACAUAGCUUCUAUCUGCCUGACUGAGUGCCACAUGCCCACAUCAAGAAGAACAGAUACCUCAUAGGGAGAGUAUCUGUGUAUUAACAAGGUGCUGUUUAUACUGUUAUUUGCCUCACCAUAAUAACACUGCUUCAACAACACUUGGUGGUGUUAGGCAAGACACAGCAGCGGCAAACCACUAUGUAUUAAAAAUCCAGCUCAGUCAUACUAAGAACCGAAUCCAAAGGAAUCAGAAGAAUAUUUGGUUAAGGCUUCAAAAAGCAUGGUGCUUCCGGAUGCCUUUCAUUUUAAUGUUAUAGGCUUGUCCUUGACUCUUAAUGUAAAAAAUGCAUUUGAUUAUUAAGCAUAUCACUGAGGAUUAAUGAGUCUGUAUUAGCCUCUACUGGUGUCUUAAAAUAAUUGAUCAGCAUGCAGGCUAGCAGUCAGCACAGGGGACUGGUUCUCAGUUCACUUCAUCCCAUAUAAAUUAUUUACGAGGUGAGGUGAAACUUGCUGGUUUUGAGGGAGUUUCGCUUUCCUAGGAAGAAGGAUUGUUUUGGGAUUAUAGGAUAGGCCAAAGAGUCAGGUAAAAUGGGUUCUAGCCUUGGCCCUGUCAGUGGGAGUGGGAUCCAUGAAGGUACUUAGGUGUCUAAACCACAGACUUAGCCACCUAACUCUUGGAUUUAGUCGCCUAAGUCCCAGUUUUGCCUCCACUGUGAGCCACAAAACUGCCACUGAAGUCGGUAGGUGCCUAAAGUCACUCAGCACUUACCUUGUGUAGAGUAAAAGUUCCCUUGGCACAAGGUUUCUCCCUCUGGGCAUGCACUUUGCUGCCUUGCUCUAGCUAUCCAGGAAACCGUCUCCUGCCUAAGCCCCAGAGCAAUUCACGAAUCACAAGAAGACAAGUACUCAGCUGCCGUCCGGGUCCCAGUCCGGUAGGCCCCCUUCAAAAUCUGGCCAGAAGAGGAGGUGCUCACCUUAUAGCGUUUAGCCUAUUGGUUAGAGCACCCAUCUAGAAUGUGGGAGACCCCAAUUCAAUUCCCACCUCAUUGCGAGAGAGGGAGAAAGCAUUUGGAUAGGGUUCUCCCAUCUCUCAGGAGAGUUCUCUAAUCACUGAGUUCUGGGAUAUUCUGAUAUGAGGCUCCCUCAGUCUCUCCUGUUGAAAUCUGUUCCACUUUGGAUAAAGACAGCAAGAGACGUUGGAGCAGGGGGACUGGUCCCGGGGUCUCCCAGCUCACCCAUGGGGGCCCUACCCCAGUGUUUAUCUACAACGGAACAAUCAUUGGGACCUUCAACCUGGACUUCGGCACCUAUCUCUGACAGAGGGGCAGAGCUUAGCACACCCCCCCUCUGGUCAGCGUCUCCCAUUGGCUAACCUAGGGGGCUUCCCGCCUAGUGACUGUUGUGGAGCGCGUUCUAAGGGGCCUAGCUGUCCCCGUUAAUUGUACAGGGCACCCGUACAAC